rnacentral:rRNA from 1 species
GAUGAACGCUGACAGCAUGCUUAACACAUGCAGUCACUGAUUGUGGCGGACGGGUGAGUAACGCGUAAAGAACCUGCCUCACAGCAAGGGACAACAUUUAGAAAUGAAGGCUAAUACCUGAUACUGUGAGAGAGCUUCGCGUCCCAUUAGCUAGUGGGUGAGGUAACAGCUCACCAAGGCGAUGAUGGGUAGCCGGUCUGAGAGGGUGAACGGCUCCAAGGGGACUGAGACACUGGCCUUGUUCAUGCGUGAGGCAUCGGUGGGAAAUCUUUGAGAAUGGACCGAUGUCUGAUCCAGGAAUUCUGUGUGUACGAUGCAGUUUUGGGAAUGUAAAGUGCUUUCAGUUGAAAAGCGGUACCAACAGAAGAAGUGCCGGCUAAAUCCGUGCCAGCAGCCGCGGUAAUAC